CCGUGCUAGGCGGGGAGCUAGCGGUGCCCUGUAACUCACAAUCCGCUCUAGUGAGGCUUAAUUCCAGUCCUAGGUUUAUAGUAGUAAGGUUUGAGCUUAUACAAGUAGCGUUGAAAGUUGGGUCUUGUGCGGCAAAGAAUUACGAACCCCGUCAGGUCCGAGAGGAAGCAGCGGUAAGUAAAAAUCUUUGGGUGCCAUAAGGAAACCUGGCUGGAGCCAACUGUAUUAGUGGCACUUGUUAUUAUAUAUCGAAGACUGGUGCACGG
rnacentral:SRP_RNA from 2 species